UACGUAGGGUCCAAGCGUUAAUCGGAAUUACUGGGCGUAAAGCGUGCGCAGGCGGCUUCGCAAGUCAGACGUGAAAUCCCCGGGCUUAACUUGGGAAUGGCGUUUGAAACUACGGAGCUGGAGUGUGGCAGAGGGAGGUAGAAUUCCACGUGUAGCGGUGAAAUGCGUAGAUAUGUGGAGGAAUACCGAUGGCGAAGGCAGCCUCCUGGGCCAACACUGACGCUCAUGCACGAAAGCGUGGGGAGCAAACAGG
rnacentral:rRNA from 1 species